GACGAACGCUGGCGGCGUGCUUAACACAUGCAAGUCGAGCGGUAAGGCCCUUUCGGGGGUACGACGAGCGGCGAACGGGUGAGUAACACGUGGGUGACCUGCCCUCAGCUCUGGGAUAAGCCUGGGAAACCGGGUCUAAUACCGGAUAUGACUCCAUGACGCAUGUUGUGGGGUGGAAAGCCUUGUGCGGCUGAGGAUGGGCCCGCGGCCUAUCAGCUUGUUGGUGGGGGAUGGCCUACCAAGGCGACGACGGGUAGCCGGCCUGAGAGGGCGACCGGCCACACUGGGACUGAGACACGGCCCAGACUCCUACGGGAGGCAGCAGUGGGGAAUCUUGCGCAAUGGGCGAAAGCCUGACGCAGCGACGCCGCGUGAGGGAUGACGGCCU
rnacentral:rRNA from 1 species